rnacentral:siRNA from 1 species
AUAACACUUUUGGACCCUAAGCCA